GUUAUUUUGGCAGAUUAGUGCAAUAGAUUUAGAAUCUAUAAAGUAAAAAUAUAUUUACAAAUAAUA
rnacentral:tRNA from 1 species